GACAAUAACGACGACGACGACACCGAUGAAGACUCCUGAGUUGAAGUGCAUGUAUGAAAAGGACAAGAAACGACUACGAGUGUUUGUUUUUGGAUAAAGGUCAGGUCACGGAGAUAGGAAUGCGAGGGAUGGCACGCAGGCAGAGGUCUGACCUCCUCCGGCACGUAAGCAAGAAGGUCUCGCUCAUGUCCAACUCGUGAGGCUUCCCAUCAUCUCCCGUUGGGAUCUCCCAAUCAAAAUUGUAGAGAACGCAAGCCAAGGAAAGCUCUAUGCUCGCCAAACCAAAUGACAUCCCGGGGCACAUCCUUCUGCCUGCCCCGAAAGGUAAGAACUCGAAGUUGGUUCCCUUGAAGUCGAUCAUGGAAUUCCUACUCUCGAAUCUCUCUGGCUCAAACUCAGUGGCAUUGUCCCAGUAUCGAGGAUCCCUUCCCAAGGCCCAAACGUUCACGAAGACUCUCGUCUUCUCUGGUAUCUGAUAACCAAGAACCUCGCACGCCUCCCGGCACUCUCGGGGGAGCAGCAGAGGAACAGGAGGGUGCAGCCUCAGAGUCUCCUUGAUGACCAGUCUCAAGUAGUUCAUUCCGUUGAUGUCGUUCUCCGUCACCUUUCCCUUUCCUCCGACAGUCUCUCUCACCUCCUCUUGCACCCUCCGCAUCACUCUUGGAUUCCUCAUCAGCUCCGACAUGGCCCACUCCAGUAUUGUUGCGGAGGUCUCGCUACCCCCACCGAGCAUAUCCUUUACGUGUUUGUUGCAAAAGGAAACCAGAAAUUAGAUUCUCGAAACUGCGACUGUAAGGAAAGAUUAGGGUUUCAGAAAAAGCAUACCAGCAUAAUAGCUUUCAUGUACUCGUCUGCGAACGGGAAUGACAGGCGACCUUCAGCUUGAACUCUCAGCAUCACAUCGACCAAGUCUUCCUCCUCCUCCGGUUGCUCCUGGGACUUCCUCUCUUUGUGCUCCUGAAUAAUGCUAUUCAGGAUCGCGUCCAUUUCACUGUGGAACCUCUGCAUCUUGGAAGUUGCGCCACUGAGAAGUUUAAUUAUCGGCCAUGACGGGAAUAAGUCCGCCAAACUGAAGCCUCCGGCAGCUUCCAGCGUUUGCGUCACUAUCCGUAGGAAAUCUUUCUGGUACUUGCACUUGCUCCCGAUGAUGGACCGUGCGGCUAUGUCAUUAGCCAACAGCGCAAAUUUCCUACUGAGGUUCACGGUGGAACCAGCGUUGGACAACAGGACUAUCGACCGCACAAGAUUAAGCACCUCCUCUUCCCGGAUAAAGCGAAAAGAUUGGACUCGCUUGGCACUCAAUAGCUCCACGAUGCUCAUCUUGCGCAGCUCCCUCCAGUGGAAUCCAUACGAGGUAAAGCCGACGCCCCUGUCACCGUAUGUGGCGGUCUGGAGAGUCAGGUUGGUGGGCCGAGAGGCGAAGCUGAUGUCGUGGGUUUUCAUGAUCUCAGCAGCCGCUUCGACAGAUGAGACAACGAGGGUGGGGAGCUCACCAAGCUUCAGGAGUAUGACGGGGCCAAAUUUCUUAGAUAAGGCAGUGAGGGAAUGAUGCGGCAGGGCAUUGAAGAGAUGGUGUAAGCUGCCUAUGAUAGGGAGCUUAGAUGGACCGGGAGGCAGUGUGGCACGAGCUCCUCGACUGGACCUGUUCUUCUUGAGAAGCAGGAGCGAUACGAGGAGGACGAGAAAGGAGAAGAGGAAGGCUGUAUUGGUGAGAUCCAUGCUUAAUUAGUUUUCUGGUAAUGAGACACCACAGGCCCCUCCACCCUUCUUAUACACAUGACAGUUAUGAGUUUCGCGUGCAGUUUCCCGAUUGCGUAAUGACAGACGUUAUCGUAUCAUCACAGAGUUGAAUUAGAAUAGUUGACACAUGGCAUUAAACCGGGGUGGAAAUCGACUCACCAUGUUUUGUGACUGGUUCAUCUGGAACAAAGUCGAUGGUACAACAAAAAAAAUAAUGGGAUCACAAUGGUGGCGGUCAGAUUCUGCAGCUACUUUAGAAUGAGAACAAACUAUAAAAUACGAUAAAUAAUUGUUAUAUAUAUUAUUUUUUCUAGAAUCUCUACCUACGCCAACUUUCAGUUUGUAGUCGAUUGUUUCGCCACAAGCAAUCCGCCAUGGACGUGUUCCUACUCCGAGCGUGUUAGUUUCAUUCAUCAUCUUUUUUUAGCAAGUUUCGUAACGCAAUUGUUUCGUUGCAUGUGUAACUUAUAUACGUGACUGUGCUUAGUUUUUGUAUAUGGCGUCGAUGUGUUUUUUUAGCGUUUAAAGGUACAAAUAACUUUCAUUUAAAUCAGAAACACACAGCAAGUGGGUUGGACGACAUGCCUAAGUUAUCCUGUUUACCAAAAAAGAAAGUUAACCAGUGAGCUUUGCAAUUAGAGGUUCUUGGUACGAAACUUAGGACAAAAGACUGUAGAGUGGCCAUCAAAGCUUGAUAUCAGAGAUGAUGGCUCUAAGGUACGAUGGGAUUUCCUCGGAGCCAUUGAUGACGGAGAUGAGGGACUGUGAAUUAGAUUAAAUCCGCAAGUUGAUCGAUCCAAUGUAGAUCCUCCGCAUGUUUGAGCGCUUCCAGGACAGCAAACGCUUCCGCCAUCAAAUGGUUAUGUGCGUUGCAAGAAGAGCAGCCCGCGGUCAUCGUCGUAGUAUAGGAAGGGUAAAGGAAGCAGAAUCCUGUACCUGCAGUUUGAACAUUGAAGGAUGCAGCCAAAAAAGGGAUCCAGGGUAAACGACUGACGUGAUCUUAUCUUCAAAGUUAAUUUGGAAUAAAGCUAUCACUUGUUACGUUAAUUUUGAAGAAUAUGCAAAUCUUUAGCAUCAUAUCACAAUGUUUUGACGAUGGUUCAUCUGGGACAACAUUUUCAUGCGGCACUUGAAGGAAAAGUCGAAAGUGUAAUCCCUCAUGCUCUCAGGAACUUUCUAACGAUGCAUCAGGGUCGGUCUAAAAAAUGUAAAGAAAUAUACAUUAAGAGUUUCCUGGUGACCCUCGUACGCUGCUUAUAUCAGAAGUUGCUUCACAAAGGUGACUAAAGCUUCACGAGCCUUAUGAAUGGAGAGCGGAAAAAAAGAUAAAAACAGAGUUUCUAGAUUACUACGGUUUGCCCUAUCUUUGUAACUAUGAGUUUUCGUGGUAUGCCAAGAAUAACAUCGCACCGUUGAAGAAGAUCAUCUAUAUCAUAUACGGUGGGAAAGAAUAUUCUCUAUUUUGGCACGUAUCAUGUCAUUUUGAUUUCGUGAAGUCAUGGCGAUGGAACGAGUCUAUCGCUAGAGGAUGAUGGUUCACCUUAUCUUUUGUCAUCUACAAACACUGACAUGAUUUGACAGUCUACUAGAGAUUAAAAUACAAUACCGUAGACCAGCAAACACGAACAGACGAUUCGCCGGCUUCCUAGGGAUUAAAAUACAAGAGCUUAGACCAGCAAGUAUGAACACAGACUUGCUAAGGUAUCAUAGUGUUUCUUGACCUGUUCCCUAUGUAGAGUGCACAUUUUGGCCGAAGGAGGGGUAUCGAUAUUUUCAAAGUUGAUAUAUUGACAUGGAUGUGGCUAUGUCUUCCGAUAUGAAAUGUCAAUAUGGGUUUGUUAAUAGAGCUAGAUGUCAAAAUAGUUUUCUAGGAGAGUAGAUGCGGUCAUAUGCUAGUAUUUGACCAGGGUGCAAUAUCCUCCCUAAUUACCAAGAAAUGUAGGUGUAUGAUUAAUCUAAAGUUGAAAUCGAUAUUAUAAGACUUAUUCAUAUCAGAGUUUUACUGGCAUAUCAGACAUUUUAGAAAAGUCAUACUACAACUUUGAUGUCGCGUCUAUGUGCAUAAAAGUCAGAUGCAUGUACGUUAUCUACAAUUGAUUCACUCUUAUAACGCAAUUUAUGUUUUGAUGUGAUAUGAUACUAACCUAAAAUUUGAUUAGCUCGCGAUUUGCAACUGGCAGCAGCGCAAACAUAAGCUGAUGUUUACGUAGUUGAUGAGUCGACGCCUUUGAAGUUUCAACAGCAUCCACGGUCAAGCUGACUGGGUGAUACUGAUGGUUAAGAAUUGCAGCUCCACAAAGCCACAAAGUUGACGGCAUCUGCUUGAUUAUGUCCACUCUUGGACAAAGUUUACCUUGGUGGUCAUAAUCUAUCAAAAAGAGUUGGAUCACAACAAUAGAUAGUUUUUAGUCAGAGUUGAUCGAGGAAAAUCCGACUUUGACAGAUGAUAGUGAUAAACCAUUGAUUUGGUUUGAAAUUUUCAUCCAUAAACGUCAAUAUUAUAAACCUGCAAGUCCUAAUCAUAAUGAAGUAUGCGUGCAACUGAGAAGCACUCGAGAUAUUAUUUAUGCAGAUGCCAUCUAUUUGAAGUUCAUAUUUGCAUAGGUUUAGUGCUAGGAAAAGUAUAUUUCAAUUUAUUUGCAUGCGUACGUCGACUAUUGGAGGUAGAAUUAGCUUCCUUCGUCAUAUACAUGACAGUGCUUAGUUUUGUAUAUAGCUUCCAUGUCACGUGGCGACUUCCAUGACAGUCUUCCUAAUCAAAUUGCGUUGAUUUAGAACUGCAUUACAAGUCUUUACACCACAGUGGCCAUUAGUUUAGUAUCAUAUCAAAUCACAAUGUAUUGGAACAGGUUUAUAUGUAUAUACAUACAUGGAAACACUCAAAGACACGGCCGGCCGUCUUCAGAGGCCAUCAGUUGUAUUAUUUCUUUGAGCAUGCGGUAAGAGGAAUUGCCAGUUGGAAGUCAAAUCAAGAAUCCCAGGUUUGGACUGUUGCCCUCGUUGAAUAGUGUUUUUAGAAAGGGCACCCACGAGUUCUGGGUGCAAACCAGUGGACCAUCUGCGUGCAUCUCUGACGCGCAACAAUGAAUGGACGAUUCUCAACCCUCAAUUAAUGCAAGCACUGAUUGGUGUAUCCAAAAGUUUUGUAAGACAGUGAUCACGUUGACAAUGCAACGUAUACCAAAAAUUUGCAAGACAGUGACGAGACAAUGGUUGACAAUGUAAUAGACGUUGGUCAAGUUUACGGUUCCCUCUGCGCAAAGCAAUCGUUCAUAUCCAUAUGUUUUUCUUACUUGUCUCUGUAUCAAAGAGCCAUAUGUUUUCUUACUUUUCUUAAAAUUGCGAACGGUUAUGAAUUUGACUGUGGUUUGCCCUCUCUUCUUAUCAUGUAGCUACGAGUUUUUGUGGCUGUCUUCCGAUCUGAAAUGACGGAGUGAGUUUCUCGAUAGAGCUAGAUGUCAAAAUAGCUUUCUAGGAGAGUAGAUGUGGUCAUAUGUUAGUAUUUGACCAGGGUGCAAUACCCUCCCAAAUUACCAAGAAGCGUAACUGCAUGAUUAAUUCAACGUUGAAAUCCAUAUAUAAGAAUUAUUCUAUCAGAGUUUUCCUCUAUAUCAGUCAUUUUAGGAAGAGUCAUACCAGUACACAGACGUCAGAUGCAUUGGCUCUAUCUACACUUGACUCAGUCAUACAUCCCUGUCUAUGUUCCGAUGUGAUGUGAUGCUAACCUAAAACGAAUCUGAUUAGCUCACGGUUUGCAACUUGCAGCAGCACAAACAUAAGCUAACGCGUUCCUAUGGUUGAUGAGUCGACGCCUUUCAAAUUUCGACUGUCAAGCUGACAGGGUGAUGGUCGAUGAUUAAGAUUUAUAGCUCCCUCUCCAUAAAGCCAUAAAGUCGACAGGAUCUACUUGACUAUGUCCAUUAGUCGUCAUAAUCCAUUAGCAAGAGUUGAAUCACAAGGGAUUUUAUGGUUUUAGGUCAGAGUUGAUCAAGGAAAACUCGACUUUGAAAUAUGAGAGUGAUAUGGUUUGGUUUGAAAUUUACAUUCAUAAUCUUCAAUAUUGUAAAUCUGCAAGUCCUAAAACACGGAUCACAGUGGCCAUUAGUUUAGUAUCAUAUCACGAUGUCUUGGGACAAAAUUUGUGUGGCGCGUAAAAGAAAAGUCGAAGGUGCAGACACUCAGAGACGCAUCCCGUGUUCAUAUCACGAUGUCUUUAAGCAUGUAGUAUGACGGAUGCAUACGAAGUUGACAUGUCGAAGUCAAAUUCUUAGAUCCAAGUUUAGACUGUUGAACUCGUUGAAUAGUUAUCUUAUAAUGGGCGCUGACGAAUUUUGGGUGCAACCCAAAAACAGCAAUAAUGAGGCACGCAGCAACGAAAGGCCAUUCUCAAUCGAUGCGAAAAACACAGCGGUGAAUCCCAUAAAUUCGUAAAACAGUGACGAAUGAACGGUUGACAAUAUAAGAGUUGAUUGAUAGUUACCUUUCUCGCUCUCUGGCGCACAAAUCAACAGUUCAUGUCGACACCUGCAAAAAUUUUUCUCUACUUGUUUCUGCAUGAGAACAAACGAUAGUGCAUCUAUCAACGUUUUAAGGGUAAUAUCGUGAUCCCAUAAUGUUUGAGGUCAGAGCUGACCCAAGAACUCUUGACUUUGUCGGAUGAUGAUGUCGUAUAUAUGGAUCGGUUCCGUAGAACCAUUUAGUUAAUGAACUGAUUACAGAAACGACAGUAAUAUAAAACAACCGUAGAGAAAGAUAAUUGAGAACAUCUAAUGCAUUUACUCUUUAACUCGUGCUUUUGUCUUCUUUUCAUCCUCCUCUUUGGAACUCUAAUGUCCUGUCCUGAUCAAUGUGGCUGUCGUUGGGAUUCCAUGACAUUAUCGCCAUGCUCGCAUGCAUCUUGUCCUCGUUGUCAUGGCCGUAAGUGAGAUUCGCCAUUGUUAUCAUAGAGUAAAUAGAAAAAAAUUUACUAUAAAAAUAAUGAAUAUAUAAAUAUGAAAUUUUUUUUUUCAAAACUUAAGUAACAAUCACAAGAAAAUAUUUGAGAUAUAAGGAUUAUAUCACUGUACACAAUAUCCAAAAUUUCUCCAAGUAAUAAUAAUAAGAAUAUAUAGACUGAUAUGAGAAUAAGAACACUAUCCGAAUAAUUAAGAACCGUCUCUAUAUUAUUCUUGUCUUUUUCUAUUUUUUCUCUUAUUUUCUGUCAUUUUCUCUUUUUUUUAAUCACGUUGCUGUUGUAGUUUUCUGUCCCUAAUUUUCUGCACCUUUUUUACGGCUAACACACCCCCUUAUUAGAUCUAUAUUUAGGUUAAUAAGGGAAGUGGGUUAUGGGUUGUUAAAGCCCACUAUAAGUUGAAUCAAUGAGUUGUCUAUCCAACAACCUCUCCCUUCAGCUCAUAAGGAAGGUUGUCCUAUGACUCCUCAAUAUGAAGUCAUACCGACUAGUUGUCGACAUAUCUCUUAUCUUUCUUUUGGUAAGGUCUUUGUUAAUAUGUCUGCUCCGUUGUCAUCUGUGUGAAUUUUCAGAAGUUACAAUUGUUUCUCUUCAAGUACAUUUUGAAUCCAGUGGUAUACAAUAUCUAUAUGUUUUGAUUUAGAAUGAAAAGUUUGGUUCUUACACAAAUGGAUGGUGAUCUGAUUGUCACAAUGCACCACAUAAUUUUUUUUUCAACCCUAAUUAUUGUAACAAUUAUUUUAUUCAUAAUAUUUCUUUGGAAACCUCUAUAGCAGCAAUAUAUUCUGCCUUUGUGGUAGAGAGAACAAUACAUCGUGGACUUCCUUGUAUCAAUAUAUUUUACCAUAUCUGUAUCUGUGUAACCUAUAAACACACGCGAUCUACCUCCAAAGCUUAAAUAAACUUUAAAAUUCUCUCUGAGAUAUCUAAAGAUCUAAUUCAUUGCUGUCCAAUGUUCUUUGCUUGGAUUUGUAAAAAAUUUACUCGUAACACCUACUACAUAUAUGAUAUCCGGCCUCUACAUACUAUAACGUAUAUUAAAUUUUCAAAUGCUGAAACAUACAAAACCUUUUAUAUUUUCUUCUUCUCCUCAUCAUUUGAUGGACUCUAAACCUUUUUCAAUACAUUCUUGAUAUAUUUCACUUGUGAUAACCAAAUCUUCUUGUUUUUUCUAUUAUGUAAAAUCUAUAGAGAAAUUUAGGAAUGACAUAAUAUGCACAGUGGAAGAACAGAAAAUAAAAACCUCAAAUUCCUAAAAUGGUGUUAAUCAUCGAGCGAAAAUUAUUAUAUAAAAAUCCGCAAAACUUAAAAUCACGCGUGAAAUAGUUGUGUUACCUCGGGAGAUCGUAUAUCCCUAAAUCCCUAUUAAUCUGUAGGAGAUGAUAAAAGAGAUCAAACGUCGCAUCCUCCUCUCUAACAAUGAUCCACACAUCAUGGUUAUGAUGAAUCGUUAUCCAAAACUUGACAUCUACUAUUUAAAGAGGAGAAUGAGAGAGGAGAAUAGGAGGUAGCAACUAAAAAAAAUAUCUAGCCUAUAGGUGUUUGAUACUCUUCUAUUUAUAGAGACUUUAUGUCAAUUUAACUCUAAUUGAUCUUGUUUUAUUGAGUAUUGGAUCUUCGUCCAACUACCCAAGCCUUUUAGAUUGAUGGAUCUCUAUCCAAUAAUCUCUCAUUGAUUUUUAUUAGAUUUCAGAAUCUAAUAAUUAAGAACCUCAUAUCUCAUCAUGAAUCUCUAUCCAAUAAUCUCUCGUUAGUUUUACAUAUAUCAAUUUCUACGUCCACCUCACACAGUCACACCUUUCGUUAGGAUUUCAAUGUAUGUCAUUACCGCAUUACUCGCAUACAUCUUGUCCUGGUGAUCACGGCCGCCACUGCUACCAUGCUCGCAUGCCGUUGACGAAGUCGCUUCACAGUAAAUCCUCUCUCCUCCUCUCUCAGAACUUUGCAUUAUCCGUGAAACUUCAAAACCAUCACCCUUGUUUUUUUUGCUUUGUUGUUAUCUUUACGAUCUAAAAUAUUCCUUUUAAUUUCUUCUGCUUUAUGGUUUCUACUGUGUGUUUACUAGGGCUUUUCUUCAUAUAAAUAAAUUCACAGAAGUUGGAGUGAAAGGCAAUCGAUUGGUGAGAGGCCAAACUUUCGUGUUAUAUCUUUUUACUUCUUCAUCAUAUUGUAAUGUUUUAGAUUCUACAAGAUGGUUAGCAUAUACUGAUUAAGAUUCAGUGACCGUUAGGAUUAACCCUGUGACAUGAUAGUCAAGUUGAAUCUUUAUUUUGAUGUCAGUUGUAGAAUAACAUGCUUUUUACUUUUAGAUCGUCCUAUUAUGGACAUAUCAAAGGUAAGCAAGAAGGGAGCUACACCAUAAAGUGAUUUAGUUUCCUAAGUGUCAGUUUAUGAGAUAAGGGUGAUAUACUGAUUAACCCUAUGGCAUGAUAGUUAAGCUGAAUCUUUAUAUUGAUGGUUAGGAUAUACUGUGAUAUCCAGGAAGACUAUAUUGAUAAUUAAGUUGAAUCUUUAUAUUAAGGUGAUAUCCAAGAAUGUUCUAAAUAUAGAUGAAUUAAGCUUUGGAAAGAGUGAUUAAAGGUCAACUAAGAUGUGCAACAAAUAUCCCUAAAGAUUAAUUUGAUUUUGUACCUUGAUGAACAACAAUUGGAGCUAUUUAUUUAUUAAAAUAAUUAAUAUAAAAAUAAAUAAAGAAAAGAAAAAAGAUUUGUAUAUGAUUUUUAUCGAUUUGGAGAAGUAUUAUGAUAACGUUUCUAUACAUUUAUUAUGGCAAGUUUUAGAAUAAUAAUAUUUAUUUAUAAAUUAUAUCAAUAUUGAUAUAUAUUUUAGUAUAGUUACUAGUGUUAAAAUUACAGACGAUUCACAUUACAUCAUUAGCUAUUCACUUUGGGAAUGGAUGAACUAUCUGAUCAUAUUCAACCUUCUUAGUCUAUUCUAUUUGUUAAUGAUAUUAUUUCAGUUGGUGAGACUUUAAGUCAAAUUACGUAUAAGCUUAAAAAUUAAAAAUUUUAAAUUUGGGUAGGACUAACAUUCGAUAUAUAUAAUGUAAUUAUAGUAACACUAGAGUAGAUCUAAAGAUAUAGUUAAUUUGGGUGGACAUCAAAAUCUAUUAAUUAUAAUUUUAUAUAUCUUGAAUCCAUUAUUCAACAAGAUAGGAAUAUCAAGAAUUUUGUAUGAUCAUCAGAUAUCUCUUAGAUUAAAAAAAAGUAAGAUUAUUGUUAGAAUAAUAAUAUUAUAUAAAUCUGAGUGUUGAUCAGUUAAUAAAUAAUGUAUGUAAAAAAAAUUAUUAUAUAUCACUAAGAUAAAAAUAUUAAAAUGGAUAUAUCGAGUUACCGUUAAAAACAUAUACUAUUAACUAUAAAAUUUAUGCUACAAACAUUUCACUAAAGAGUAUUUAUUGAUAAACUUGUCAUUGAAAAAAGUUUCAAUGAUAAAACUAAUUUGUCAUUAAGAUGUCAUCACUAAGUGUUUCUAAUUUAUAAAUUCGUCACGAUAUUGUUACUGUCAUAAAUAUUUUUUUUUAUUUUUUGACGAUAAUUUUAUGAUUGUAACAAAUGUUAAUUUAUUCGGCAAAUAUUAUCUUUAUUGUUACUAAACUAUUAACACAGAAAGAUCAUAUAUUGUCACUGAUACUUAUUAUGUAAUUUUUGAAUUUAAAGGAUUCUAUACAUUAAUUUUAUGAGGGAUGCACGAUCUGGACCGUAGGAUAGUCUGUGUUUUUUGGGACCUUCGGAUUGCUCGAUCCCACGAUCAAGAUUAAAAAGACAAAGAAUACCCUAAAUGCUUAGACUCGCGCUCUGCUGCCAGAGGCGGAUCCCGUUACCAACGGCCGAUUCCAUCUUUUGGAGAAGCGAAACCCGAUGUCACCGUCGGCGAGACCUCAGUCUCUUCGUCUUAUGGAAGAGCGACCGAGCCUCGCUGUUGCUACCGCUGCUGGCCGAGGGGCAUCCCCGGUUUAGGUUGAGUUCGUCAUCGACUACCUUACCACUUCUUCUUCCGCCCUUGCGAUCGAUGCACAUCCAUCACGUAGCUACUGACGAAGUAAGCUAUUUCCCUUAGCAUUUGCAUUGUUGUUUUAUCCUUUUCAACAAGUUGUGUGCUCUGGACGGCAUUUCUCUUGUUCUUAGUCAAUUGGUUGAGGUUGAAUCGACCCUUCCAUUGAUAGAAUUUGUUGGAAACAUCAAGACUAUGCGUCUGAUGGCAAUGAGGAAGAUCGGUUUUUACUCAAAACGACCCCUAUUCUGUGACUAAAAUUUUGCCUUAUAAUAUUUUGUAAGAAAGUGAUAUUACAAAUCAACACUCUUUUUUCUUUUGAGAUUGAAACUUAUAAUCUUAUCAAGUAAAUAUGAGUUAGUACCAAAAUUUAGGGCUAAAGAGAGGGCAUCACCAAGAUUGCUGGAAUCUUAAAUAACUUACAAGUGGAAGAGCCAGCAAUGCGACUGAUGUGAUCAUGCAUCAUGUCUUAGUAUCUUUUGUCAAAAUUAUCUUUCCAAUUUGUAAUAUUGAUGGUAACAACUUUGUUAUGGUUCUCCAGAUGGUCAUUCCUCAGAUAAAUGUGUUGGACCAGGAGGUACUUUUCUUUCACAUUUUAGAUUAUUGAUUUGUCUAUAACAUUAUGUAGAUGAUUGAAAAGUUUUCACCGAUGUGUUUGAUAGGCUUAUCUAAUUUAAUUCACUCACUUGAUUUUUGAAGUGGACAAUAAAAUGUGGUAAAUACUUGGUAUUUAUGAUUUGCUAAACAUCUUAACCUGAUAAUGAUGAUGAUGAUAUCGAAUAUAAAGAAUCAUUACCAUUGAUAUACUUGCAUAGUAACAAAUUUCAGCUGUUAAAUAGUUUUAGACUGGUUACUUUUUACUAAACAAAGCAGAAGUCCAAUUUUGUUCUUGUUGCAUGUGAUGGUUUGACCUAAUCUUAAGCAAAGAUUACAUAUAUUAAAACUUGGAACUCACACUUUAGCUCUUUGGUCUGUUUAUUUUAAGAUAUUAAUAUAUUAUAUAAUAUUGAAUUAAAGCUUGUUGUAUCUUUACCUAGAAUGUGAUGCUUGAUUAAUUAUAUUGCAUGUUUUUAUUUAUUGUCAGACACCCUUUGCUAAUUAUGCAUCAUAUGGUAUAUGCUGCACUUAAGGAUUUCUUCAGUAUUGUUAUACUGUCAUCCCCAUCAGUUUGUUUAGCUUCCGAGAUCUCUUUCCAUAUAAAAUUACUGUUUGAAACUAAAAUUUACUUGCAUUUACUAGAGCAUUUCUUUCUUUCUUUAUGUUGGUUAAGGCUUGGUGAUUUCUUUAGAAAUCUCUUUUAUAAGUUCUCUGAUUUGAUAUAUAGUGCAGGUUGGUAUGGUGACACCUAUGUGCCUUCAUCUAACAUCCAAAGAUCUGCUAGAUAAGGUCAGUCCUGGAAGAUUUUAAACUCUACAAAACUGAAUAAUACAAAUCGAUAACUCUACUGGUCUUUUUAUUUAGUUGGUUAAUAUAUAUGUAGAUGCCUUUGGACAUUAGUAAAACCAAAUAUAAACACUCUUAGAACAAUGUUCUUUUGGAAACAAUAUUCUCUUAGUUCUGAAUGAUUUCGAUUCAUGGAGAAUUUUUAUUAGCAUAUGAAAUCAAGAAAUGGGAAGAAGAACGAGAAUCAAAGUAUUUUCAUUUGCAUUUGGUCUAGCAUGUAAUCUUAUUUUGAUUCAAUUGCGACUUAGUGUUGGUAUAUAAUGAAUUGUUUAUGAUGGAGUUUAUGCAACUAAGCUGACCAUGAAAUUCUUCUUUUAGUUUACAUAUAUAAUGACCAUAGAUUUACAUAUUUUAUGUUUUAUAUUUUAACAAUAAUUCUUAUAAUAUCUUGUGUAUCAUAUCUUAUCCAAUUCCAUGGUUUGAAGCAAAAAUGGAUUGGAUAUUUAUCAUAUUUUCUUCGAUUCAUACUCAAAAUAAUGCUUUUAGAUUAUCGCUGACGAUGAUAAUGGAUCAAAUGUCUUGGUAUAAAAUUAGAUAUCCAUGUCUACUUAUCGUUCUUAAUAUCAAGUAGGGAUUAUAAAGAGUUGAGAUUUUUUUUUUAUAUACUCGGGUCUAUCUGGAUUUAGGUUAUCUUUUAAUUAGGUCUAAAGACAUAAUGCCAUGUCAAAUUUGGGGUUUUAUUAAAAUUUAUCAUGUUGUUUUAUUAUUAUUAUUAUUAUUGCAAAUAUUAAAUGAUGAAGAUGGGAUUUGAGUUAGGACACCAGCUAAGCUUUAUUUGAACAUUUUUCUGUGGAUAUAUUAUUUAGUUCUUUUAAGAAACCAAAGCCAUGGAUUUUAUUAGCACCACUAUAUGAAACACAAUCAUGUAAAUAUGGUGCUACGAUGAGGAUGUGGUGGGGUUACAAAGGAAUCCGAGGGAUAGCACGCAGACAAAGCUCUGACCUUCUCCGGCAUGUCAAUAAGAAGGUCUCGCUCAUGUCCAACUCGAUAGGCUUUUGUUCAUCUCCUGUUGGGAGCUCCCAAUCGAAGUGGUAGAUAAGAGAGGCAAGGGAAGUCUCUAAGCUCGCCAGCCCAAAUGACAUCCCUGGGCACAUCCUCUUUCCUGCCCCGAAAUGGCCCACUCCAGUAUUGUUGCGGAUAUCUCGCUGCCCCCACCAAGUAGAUCCUUUAAAGUGUUCAUUGCAAAUUGAAACCAGAAGUUAGAUUCUCGAUAGGGCAUCCAUGAAAUUGCCACUGUCCUGCAAGAUUAGGGCUUCAAAGAAAGCAUAUCAGGAUAAUAGCUUUCAUGUACUCGUCUGCGAGGGGAAAUGACAGGCCACCUUCGUCUUGAACUCUCAGCAUGGCAUCGACCAAGUCCUCCUCUAGUUGCUCUACAGACUUCCUCUCUUUGUGCUCUUGAAUGAUGCUAUUCAGGAUUGCAUCUAUUUCCCGGUGUAAUCUCUGCAGUUUGGAAGACAUGCCACUGAGAACGUUAAUUAUCAGCCAUGCCGGGAAUAAAUCGGCCAAACUGAGAUCAUUAGGUCAUAUCUCAGUGAAACUACUUGAUAUUUUUUUAAUUUGUUGAGAGAAACACGAUACAAAGGAUCGAUUACUCCAUUUUGAUGCAAUAUUUGAUUAUGUAGAUCCAAUUUAAAUUUUGAAACUUCCAUUUGCAAUGUCAUUGUUCUUGGCCAAAGCACUACACUAUAGAUGUUAUCUUGUUUCCACUGUAUUAGUGUGACUGCUUUACUUUUCUAGAAAUAAAAUUUAGGCUCACAACCUACCACACAUUGAGAGCCGUGGAAAUUUUAAGCAGAUUGACGUGCUACACUUCGGUUUCAUGUAUUAUGGAGUGAUUUCUCACAAAAAGUCCAUCUAUUUAUAUUUUUUUAAAGGAAGUGCCUCCGAUUACUGUAAUUUCCGAAGAAUCCUUCAUUUUUACCUGAUGCUUGGUCUAAUUCUGAUUUGAUAACACGUUAUUAUCUUUUUUUUCUUCUCUUUCUCUUUAUUUUUCUAUGGAUCGAUCUAUAAAAUAAACUGAUCUAGUUAUAAUGUUUCUGGUAACACUAAAAAACAUUAUAAAAUAAUGUUUCUGGAUAAAUUUUGUAAAAAUAUUAUGUUUUUAUGCUAUGUUAUGAUAUUUUCAGUAUGCUAGGAAAAUAUUGUAAUGUAGUGUCAAAAAAAUUAUAACUGAAUUGAUUCAUCUUAUUGGAAACACAAGCCAGUGGUAAACUGCUUCGGACUCCUACUGAUGAUUACACAGAUGCCUUCCAAUUUUUUCCUUAAUGCUUAAUUAUAUACAACCUUUGAUCCUUAUCAAUAUAUAACAAUGCAUAUAAUUAUUAUGUAACACAUGAUUUAGAGCCCCCCUAAUGGGCCUCCCAUCCCAUCCCUUCAACAAAAAUAUUCGUAGAAAUUAAGAUGCGAAUAAAUUAUUACUGCCUUCCAUUUGGACAGCAUAGAGAAAUUUCCUCCCUUGAUAUAUAAGAUUAAUUAUAUAUUACUAAUUAAUUAUCUUUAGCAUUUCAAUCCUUAUGUUUUCAAAAGUUACAUUGAGAUCUUUAUACUCAUGAAAAUGAAACAUUUAAUCUCGUUGCUUCAAUAAAAUCUCUUUCUUUCUUAAUUUUUAAUUUUAUGAAAUUAUAUUUUAAUCCUGUAUAGGGGUCUCAAUAUUUUACUUUCGUAAAUAUAGGGAUCCUAAUGUAACUUUUGUAAGUGUAAGAAUCGAGAUAUUAAAAAUAAUUAAUUACAGGGGAUAAUAUGUAAUUAGUUUAUAUGGUAUAUUAUUUCUCAUCAAGCCUUCGAAAUGCUUUUGCUGAUAUUAAAAAUUGAAGAGAAAAUAUGUUACCCUUCAUUAAUGAUUGAAGGCCAUAAGGAUAUCAUGAUUUCAUGGCCUCAGAUGCAAUCACUCCUGGAGCACUAGGUUGAGCACUCAAAUCAUGCAACUAAAUGAUGCAUCACAAUGAAGUGGAUGAAAAUAUUUUUUUGUUUUCAUUUGUGAAAUUGCAUCUCCUAUUUGGAGGGAAAUUGACCGUCAAAGUGGAUAGAGAGGAUGAGUUCAAAUGUUAAACAGUUAAAGAGGAGAAGAAGAUUAGGGGGUUAGUCCUUUCCAUUACUCAACAUUAUUAAGCAUUCAACCUCCAUCUACUUCAAGAAACUACCAUCAAGUUCUAACUCUAUAAGGCAAUCACCAGCAAUGUCCUUUUCUUAUUGAGAGUGCGUUUGAGAUAUUUUCUAUGAAGACAAAAGAAGAGAAAAAAAAGCUGCUGCCCAACUCACAAAAGCUUUUAUCAGUUUAGAAGUAAUUUGUCAAACCUGGAUUAUGAGAAUAGCCCGACUAGGUUUGGAUUGUGAGAAUAACCGUCCUCCGCACCAAUCUUCAAGAGUGGAGAAGAAAGGUCAAGGAUGAGGAUCCUCGAUGCAGCGCUGGACCUCUUUAGCAAUGAGCAUCUUUAGCAUAUUAUCAAGAGACAACCUACAUAGGUAGAUUUAAAAUUUUAAUAAAUAGGAUAUGACAUAUAGCAGAUGUUGUAGAACUAUUGGAGCAAUAUCUUUUAUCAGCGAGCAUCUUUACCUUGUUAUCAAGAGAAGACCUAUCAUUCAUGACAAAAUUACUCUUAAGUAUGUUUUCUGGUAACACUUGUAUCAUUAUUAAAUAUGAUAGUUAGAAAUCCAUUUUUUGUCAACUCGACCUUGGUAGUUUCUCUUUGCGUAUCAUACAUAAUUAUGCAUAGAAUAAUAUCUAAAAGACAACUUCGAAGAUGAAGAUGAAGGAGAAAUUUUGUAUGACAUUCUUGUGCAUAUGCAAUUGUAAAUACACACAUAUGGAUAUAUGAAUGUGUGCAUUUAUAAUUUAUUCAAUGAUUGACAAGAAAUCCACUUUACCAUAUUUCGUUAAUAGCCAUGGAAUUUUCCUUUUUCAGUUAUUCAAGGAACAUCUUAUAUGCUAAUUCAAUGUGCCAAUUGCUUUAGCUUCAAGUACCCGAUGAAUCUUUGUCACUGCUUAUGGGAAUGGGUUACAAAGAAAAUGCAGCGAAAAGGGCGCUAAGAAUGACCGGUCAAGACGUUCAGCCAGCAGUUCAUUUCCUGGUUGAAGAGCUAGGAAAAUACUCAGGAAACAGGAGAAUAUUCAGCGACAAGGAGAGAUUUUGUAUAGCUCUAUACUUUGCCAGAGAAUGUUUUUAUCUUAUUUUUUAGUUAAUGAUUGUUGCUGAUUGUAUGAACUUGUAGAGAACAGAGGAGAUAUGGUACUAAUAAAUCAUGGCAUAUAGCAUAAUGUGACAGAUGUAAUGGCUUUGCUUCUGUGGAUUGUGAAACAUUAGAUUGUGUCAGGCACUUAUCAGAUUGCUCUCUGGUGUCUAGGAUCAAUACAUGUACACUACUAGUCAAUCUAUUUUGCAGUUUUGAUAGAGAUCUUGCUGCACAGGCUCUUAGGGUGAAUGAAAAUGAAGUUCAAAAAGCGUUAGAUCUUUUGACAAAUCCUGAGAGCCCUUCAGGUACUUGGUUUUCUUUAGAGUGUUUCUCUAUUAUCAUUUUCACUAACUAAUGACCUUUUGACUGCCAGAGUCGACUUGGAAGUUGGGAGUAUCGGAUUCUUCAGGUGCAGACGUUGAGGAAUUAGUAUCCAUGGGGUAUAACCGAUCAUCAGGUAUUUCAUCGCUUCAUUUAUUCCUCAGACAAUCAAGUGUUUCAUGCAUUUAUUUCAGACCAGGGUGCCCUUCUCGUGAUGACUCCCAGGCAUCUAAUGUUGCCCUAGUUAUCUGACCAUACUUAAUUUUUACAAACAAUAUAUUCUAUAUGCUUGACCAUAGAUCUCCAUUAGCUCCAGUUACACUGUCAAGUACUUGCGUUCGGAAUUAACUAUUCUUAACUGCAGUUGUGGACGCUGUGCAAAGGUCACUUACCAAGGAGGAUGUGUUGAAACUUCCUGUCGGAGCAAAUUCAGAGGAUAGCCAGCAUGCUACAAUCAACCAACCGAAAGAUGAUUAAGGGCCAUCAGCUGCUUUAGCUAAUGAUGAUAAAAUGGAUCUGGGAGGAGAACACAAAUAUGAGAGAGACGAAGCCAUGGAAUAUGAGCUUGCUCCUUUGGCAGACUACAACACGGAAGUAAUGAAAGGAGAGGCCACAACAAAGUGUUUGGCCAUUCUGGAUUCAAAAGCCAAUGCAACAUAGGAAAUAAGAUACAUCGGAAGAAUCCCAUAAAUAAGUAAGAUAGUGUAGUUUCCUUUUGUAUCCCCCAGCAUUAAUAUAUUAUUAUAGAAGAUACGACUGCGAUUUCUUUUUUUAAUUAGCCAUAAGUUUUAUUUUUUCUCUUUCUGUAAUCAUCAUUUCCAAAUGGGUUUUUAUGUAUUUCUGGCAAUGUGCACCCCGUCGCCGAGAGGUCAUAUAUGGUGUUUUACAUUUAAAAUAUCUUGCUUGAAGGGAAAAAGCCUGAUCUACUUUGGUUGGAAAAAGCCUGGCUAAAUUUACAUUCCACUUUGGUUGGAAGUGAAUUGUUUUGUUGACUUUUAGAAAUUUACACUCCACUUUGGUUGGAAGUGAAUAGAUUUAUCUACUUUUAAAUGGUUUCAAGCGUAAAGGCAUCUCUAUUUUCAUUCACAAAAUUAUCUAUAAACACUUGAUAAUUUUGUGGAAGGAAAUAGAGAUGUCAUUGUUUUAUGCCUUAAAAAAUGUAUAUAUCAUUUUCAAUAUGGGUGAUAGACACGUAGUUAAGAAAAGCUUUACUGAAUCACUAAUAAUCAAUCAAGCUGUAAAGCCUGAAACCCCAAACCCUUAACUAUUAUUAAGAGUUUGGUUUAGUUAGAUACUAAUAUCUAUAUUUAUUCAUAAUGUCUCAUAGUGGGGAUGAAAUUUUAUGGUAUCCAAGCUCUUUAUCGUAACACGCAUCCAUGGCAAUAAUAUUGAUUUGGUUUGAAAUUUUCAUCCAUAAUCGUUAAUAUUAUAAGCCUGCAAGUCCUAAUCAUAAUGAAGUACGCGUGCAACUGACAAGUACUCAAGAUAUUAUUUAUGCAGAUGCCUUCUAUUUGACCUUCCUAUUUGCAUAGGUUUAGUGCUAGGAAAAGUAUGUUUCAAUUUAUUUGCAUGCGUACGUUAACUUGGAGGUAGAAUUAGCUUCCUUUGUCAUAUACAUGACACUGCUUAAGUUUGUAUAUUGGAACUGGUUUAUAUGUAUAUGCAUACAUGCAAACACUCAAAGACACGGCCGGCCGUCUUCAGAGGCCAUCAGUUGUAUUAUUUCUUUGAGCAUGCGGUAAGAUGGAUGCGUACUCGUUGAAUAGUGUUUCUAGAUAGGGCACCCACGAGUUCUGGGUGCACAUCAGUGGACCAUCUGCGUGUAUCUCUGACGCGCAACAAUGAAUGGACGACUCUCGACCCACAAUUGAUGCAAGCACUGAUUGGUGUAUCCCAAAGAUUUGUAAGACAGUGACCAGGUUGACAAUGUAACGUAUACCAAAAUUUGCAAGACAGUGACGAGACAAUGGUCGACAAUGUCAUAGACGUCGGUCAUGUUCACAACUCCCUCUGUACAAAGCAAUCGUUCAUAUCCGUAUGUUUUUCUUACUUGUCUCUGUAUCAAAAAGCCAUAUGUUUUCUUACUUUUCUUAAUUGAUGGUUUCGGUUUCUUAAAAUUGAGAGCUGAAUUCGAAUUGAAUUGGAUCGGUUCUGAAAUCAAAGCCGAAAUUGGUGGUGCCGAUUCCGGUUCGAACGAUGAAGACGGGAAUCGAGUUAGGACACCGGCCAAGCUUUAUUUGAAUAUUUAUCUGUGGAUAUAUUAUCAUGUAAAGAUGGUGCUACAAUGAGGAUGUUGUGGGAUUACAAAGGAAUCCGAGGGAUUUAUUCAUGGAUAUAUUAUCAUAUAAAGAUGAUAUUACGAUGAGGAUGUGGUGGGUUUACAGAGGAAUCCGAGGGAUAGCACGCAGACAAAGCUCCGACCUCCUCUUGCAUGACAAUAAGAAAGUCUCGCUCAUGUCCAACUCGAUAUACUUCUGUUCAUCUCCUGUUGGGAGCUCCCAAUCGAAGUGGUAGAUAAGAGAGGCAAGGGUAGUCUCUAAGCUCGCCAACCCAAAUGACAUCCCCGGGCACAUCCUCCUUCCUGCUCCGAAAGGUAGGAACUGGAAGUUGGUUCCCUUGAAGUCGACCAUCGAGUUCCUCCCUUCGAAUCUCUCUGGCUCGAACUCAGUCGCGUUGUCCCAGUAUUGAGGAUCCCUUCCUAAGGCCCAAAUGUUCACGAACACUCUCGUCUUCUCUGGUAUCUGGUAACCAAGAACCUCACUCGCCUCCCGGCACUCUCGGGGGAGCAGCAGAGGAACCGGAGGGUGCAGCCUCAGAGUCUCCUUGAUUACCAGUCUCAAGUAGUUCAUUCCGUCGAUGUCUUCCUCUGUCACCUUUCCCUUUCCUCCGACAGUCUCCCUCACCUCCUCUUGCACCCUCCUCAUCACUCUUGGAUUCCUCAUCAGCUCCGACAUGGCCCACUCCAGUAUUGUUGCGGAAGUCUCGCUGCCCCCACCAAGUAGAUCCUUUAAAGUGUUCAUUGCAAAACGAAACCAGAAAUUAGAUUCUCGAUAGGGCAUCCAAGAAAUAGUCACUGUCCUGUAAGAUUAGGGCUUUAAAGAAAGCAUACCAGGAUAAUAGCUUUCACGUACUCGUCUGCGAGGGGAAAUGACAGGCCACCUUCGGCUUGAACUCUCAGCAUGACAUCAACCAAGUCCUCCUCUGGUUGCUCUACGGACUUCCUCUCUUUGUGCUCUUGAAUGAUGCUAUUCAAGAUUGCAUCUAUUUCCCGGUGUAAUCUCUGCAGUUUGGAAGACAUGCCACUGAGAACGUUAAUUAUCGGCCAUGCCGGGAAUAAGUCGGCCAAGCUGAAGCCUCCCGCUGCUUCCAGCGCUUCCGUUAUUAUCCGUAGGAACUCUUUCUGAUACUUGCACUUGCUCCCGAUGAUGGACCGCGCGGCUAUGUCAUUAGACAACAGAACAAAUUUUCUACUGAGGUUCACAGCGGAACCGGUGUUGGACAGCAGGAGAAUCGACUGCACAAGAUUAAGCACCUCCUCUUCCCGGAUAAAGCGAAAAGAUUGGACUCGUUUGACACUCAAUAGUUCCAGGAUGCUCAUCUUGCGCAGCUCUCUCCAACGGGAUCCAUACGAGGCAAAGCCGAUGCCCCUGUCACCGUACGUGAAGGACUGGAGAGUCAAGUUCGUGGGCCGAGAGGCGAAGCUGAUGUCGUGGGUCUUCAUGAUCUCAGCAGCCGCGUCGGGCGAGGAGACGACGAGGGUAGGGACCUCGCCAAGCUUUAGAAGCAUGACGGGGCCAAAUUUCUUAGACAAGGCAGCGAAGCACUGAUGAGGCAAGGCACCAAGGAGAUGGUGCAAGCUGCCUACGAUAGGGAGAUUAGAUGGACCGGGCGGCAGUCUGGCACUGGCUCGUCGGCCGGAGCUGUUCUUCUUGAGUAGCAGCAGGAGGAAGAGAAAGAGGAGGGUGGAGAAAAGGAACGCCGUGUUGGUGAAAUCCAUGGCUCUAUGGGAACCAAGGAGCAAGUGACCCCUCCUGUGUUUUUGAUAGACAUGACAGUGCUUACCUUUUUUGUACAUAGUUUCUAGGUUACUUGGUGAUGAUUGACGUGACCCGAUCAUGCUAUGGCAGCUCAAUCAAAUCAACUAGUCACGACAUGUGGGACUUUAGACCGUUUUACUGAGAGAUUUGAACUUGUGCAUGUGGAAAUUGACUCGAUGAUGUUGAUGAACAUUUUGAUGAAUAGUUAUCUUAUCCGUCGUUUAUACGAAAUAUUGUUUUACAUAUUUUUAUUUAUAUAGGAAGAAAAAUAAGAUGAUCAACUGAUUGAUUAGGUAUGCUAAGAUUUUUUAUUUAUUUAUUUUUUUUAGAGAGAGGAGUGGUCUUCUCAGCUGAGCUUCUUUUUAUUACACGAAUGUCUUUUGUAACCCAUUGAUUUAAUUAAUCAUGUUUAUUUUCUUUUAAGAAAAACAAAUCUUAUCACUAAGUUCUCGAUCACUUUGACUAUUAAUUUAGUUAUCCAAUCGUGACUGAUUCAUUAUGCAAAGUCGAAGGUAUAAUCUCUAAAAUCAAAUCAUGACGACAACGAAAUGCCGGUCAAAUUCUGCUGCUACACAAGAAUGAAUGAGAAUCAACGAUAGUGAAUAAUUACUAUAUAUUGUUUUUCUGAGAUCCCUGCCAUGCAGACUUUCCGUUUGCUAAUUGUUUGUUUCGAUCACAUAGAUAGUUUAGUCUUGAGCAUGUCAUGUCAGAUGAGGUUAUAAAUCGUAAACUUUUAACGUAUCACCAUCAAACUAUGUCCUGUCCAAAAGCUAUUAAAUUUAUACAUCGUUUAAGCAAGUUGUAAGACACAAUGAAAUGCAUGUGUAUGAAUUUUGAGAUUGAAGUUGGCAUAGAAUAAUUUAAUUAUUCUUGUCAUACUUUUUUGUCCGAUAUCAGACUUGUAAGGAAAACUCAUACCAUUCUUCAGGGGAUAAUUACAGAUUAUUUUUGUAAUUAAUUAUGAUUAGCAUUUCCAUCUUUAUACUUUAAAAAUUAGUAUUAUGAUCCAUACACUUAUAAAGUGUAAUAUUUAACUUCAAUUCCUCUUACAUUGUUAACUUCGUUGACGGAAAAAAAUAACAUGUGUAAAAGGGUGUGAAUAGAAAGGAUAAAAAUGUUGUCCGUCGUCUUUUCAAUCUAUUUGCGUUGCCCAUCACACCUGUUACCCAUCACUCGCCCACCGCACUUGUCGCUCGUCGCUCAUCUAUAGCACCUACUCGCUUGCCACACCUACUCAUCCGUCGUUUGCCCGUCACAACCCGUUCACAUCGAUUGGGUCGUCCUUCUCCACUCUUUCUAACCUGCUCAUCCACCACUUCGUCAUCCCAUUGCCCUUCUUUCCAUUCCUGAUACGUAGACAAAUUCAUUAGCUCCAAAAUUGUCAGGAUUAAAUGAACUGUUCUUGAUAUUCUAGUGUACGAUUAGGAAUAACAAAUAGAGAAUUUUAUGACAGAUUCUUAUAUUUUAUACGUGUAUUUAAUUACAAUUUUUACUGCAGUUGUAGCAAAAGGUGUCAUCUCUUAAAAUAGAUAACUUCUAAUAGAAAUAAUCUAUAAUUACCCCAACAAUGUUGCACCUUUCAAUAACAUCCCAUCUGGCAACUCAAGCUGCUGUUCAUACCACAUACGCAUGUUUAGUGCCGGCUGAAGCAAGCUUCACCGAUGACGAUGAGGUCGUUGUUGGUUAGGGCGGGGAUGACAAGGUGACGGGCAAGCAGGUUGGAAAGAGGGGUGAUGGACGAGCGGGUGCGACAAGUGAGUGGGUGCGGUGAGCGAGCAAUGAUCGAGCAAGUAUGAUAAGUGAUUGAGUGCAGUGGCCAAGUUGGUGUGGCGGGUGAUGAGCGAAUAGAUUGGUAAGAGUAGAGGAAGAAGAAAUCGAUCAGAAAAAUUUAUAUAAAAUUAAUAAUUUAAAAAUAAUAAAAUUACAUAUUUGUCCUUUCUAUUCAUGCUCUUCCGUAAGUUAAUGAUGUAAGGAGAAUUUGGAUUAAAUGUUUCACUUUCUUAUAAUCUCAAUACUAUUAUUUAAAAUAUAAAAAUCGAAAUAUUAAUCAUAAUUAAUUAUAGAAGAUAAUUCUUAAUUAUCCUCUCUUCAGGUCACGUCUAUGUACGUAAACAUAAUGCGUUGAUAUUAUCUAACACGUUCUGAUGUGACGUGAUACUCAUCUAAAAUGAACAUGAGGCUCUGCUCGUGACAGCAGGCUAAACAUGAGCUGACGCUUAUGUGGCUGGUGAGUCAAUGCCUUUUAACUCUCGGCAACCUCCGCUGUCAAGCUGACAGUCAUCGAUUGAAUAAUCGAUUAAUAACAAGGGAUGGUUUGAAAUUAUCAUCCACAACCAUCACCAUUACUAAUUUGCGAGUCCUAAUCAUAUUGAAAAACGCAUACGGACUGAAGACUGGAGAUAUAUUGACUAAACGGGUGCACUGUAAUUGGAACUUGAUAGUGCACAAGUCCAGUAACAGAAAAAGUAUAUUUUUGUGGAACCAGUCAAUUUAUUGAUCUAUUUAUUUAUCGAAAAUGAUUGACAGGAUUGUCAACUACGGCCAAAUCCUUUUGGAGAUUAAUAGAGAAGAGUCAUCUCGUCAGAUGGGUCAUGGAUAUUAGGUAGUAUGCCUUACGUUAGUGGUGUCUAAAUUGGAUCAAAACUUAUGUAUUUAAUGCUGGAGGAAUUCUUUUCCUUGAUUAUUAUUUGGUACAUUAGGUCAUAUCUCAGUGAAAUUACUUGAUAUUUUUUUAAUUUGUGAGAGAAACACGAUACAAAGGAUCGAUUACUCCAUUGUGAUGCAAUAUUUGAUUAUGUAGAUCCAAUUUAAAUUUUGAAACUUCAAUUUGCAAUGUCAUUGUUCUUGGCCAAAGCACUAAACUAUAGAUGUUGUUAUAUUGUUUCCACUUGUAUUAGUUUGACUGCUUUACUUUUCUAGAAACAAAAUUUAGGCUCACCACCUACCACACAUUGAGAGCCGUGGAAAUUUUAAGCAGAUUGACGUGCUACACUUCGGUUUCAUGUGUUGUGGAGCGAUUUCUCACAAAAAGUCCAUCUAUUUAUAUAUUUUUUAAAGGAAGUGCCUCCGAUUGCUAUAAUUUUCUAAGAAUCGUUCAUUUUUUCAUGAUGCUUGGUCUAAUUCUGAUUUGAUAACACGUCAUUAUCUUUUUUUUCUUCUCUUUCUCUUUAUUUUUCUAUGGAUGGAUCUAUAAAAUAAACUGAUCUAGUUAUAAUGUUUCCAAUAAACCUAAAAAUAAUCAUAACAUAAUGUUUCUGGAUAAAUUUUGUAAAAAUAUUAUGUUUUUAUACUAUGUUAUGAUAUUUUCAGCAUGCUAGAAAAAUAUUGUAAUGCAGUGUAAAAAAUUAUAACUGAAUUGAUUCAUCUUAUUGGAAACACAAGCCAGAGGUAAGUUGCCUCGGACUCCUGCUGAUGAUUAUACAUAUGCCUUCCAAUUUUUUUCUCGAUGCAUAUAAUUAUUAUGCAACACAUGAUUCGGAGACCCGCUAGUGGGCCUCUCAUCUCAUCCCUUCGACAAAAAUAUUCAAAGAAAUUAAGAGGUGAGUAAAUUAUUAGUGCCAUCCAUGGAUAGCAUAGAUAAAUUUCCUCCUUGAUAUGGUAUAAGGCUAAUUACAUAUUACUAAUUAGCUAUUUUUAGCAUCCUGAUCUCUAUACUUUCAAAAGUUACAUUGAGAUUUUUAUACUCAUGAAAAUGAAACAUUUAAUCUCGUUGCUUCAAUAAAAUCUCUCUCUUUCUUGAUUUUUAAUCUUAUGAAAUUAUUUUUUUAAUCUUAUAUAGGGGUCUCAAUAUUUUACUUUCAUAAAUAUAAGAAUCCCACUGUAACUUUGGAAAGCGUAGGAACCGAGACACUAAAAAUAACUAAUUACAUGGGAUAAUAUAUAUUAGUCUAUAUGAUAUACUAUUUCUUAUCAAGCCUUCGAAAUGUUUUUGCUGAUAUUAAAAACUGAAGAGAGAAUAUGUUACUCUUUAUUAAUGAUAGAAGGCCAUACCGAUAUCAUGAUUUGUUGGCCUCAGAUGUAAUCACUCCUGGAGCACUAGGUUUAGCACUCAAAUCAUGCAACUAAAUGAUGCAUUACAGUGAUGUGGAUGAAAAUAUUUUUUUGUUUUCAUUUGUGAAAUUGCAUCUCCUAUUUGGAGGGAAAUUGACCAUCAAAGUGGACAGAGAGGAUGAGUUCAAACGUUAAACACUUGAAGAGGAGAAGAAGAUUAGGGAGUUAGUCAUUUCCUUUACUCAACAUUAUUAAGCAUUCAACCUCCAUCUACUUCAAGAAACCACCAUCAAGUUCUAACUCUAUAAGGCAAUCACGAGCAAUGUCCUUUUCUUAUUGAGAGUGCAUUUAAGAUCUUUUCUAUGAAGACAACAAAAGAGAAAAAAAAAGCCGCUGCCCAACUCACAAAAGCUUUUAUCAGUUUAGAAGUAAUUUGUCAAACCUGGAUUAUGAGAAUAGCCCGACUAGGUUUGGAUUGUGAGAAUAACCGUCCCCCGCACCAAUCUUCAAGAGUGGAGAAGAGAGGUCAAGGAUGAGGAUCCUCGAUGCAGAGCUGAACCUCUUUAGCAAUGAGCAUCUUUAGCAUAUUAUCAAGAGACAACCUAGAUAAGUAGAUUUAAAAUUUUAAUAAAUAGGAUAUGACAUAUAGCAGAUGUUGUAGAACUAUUGGAGCAAUAUCUUUUAUCUGCGAGCAUCUUUACCUUAUUAUCAAGAGAAGACCUAUCAUUCAUGACAAAAUGAUCUGCAUAUAUGAAUAGGGAAUUAGCAAACUAGGACUUAUUUGAGCCCUCUAAUUUUUCAUUUUACUCUUAAGUAUGUUUUCUGGUUGAACACUUGUAUCAUUAUUAAAUAUGAUAGUUAGAAAUCCAUUUUUUGUCAACUCGACCUUGGUAGUUUCUCUUUGCGUAUCAUACAUAAUUAUGCAUAGAAUAAUAUCCAAAAGACAACUUCGAAGAUGAAGAUGAAGGAGAAAUUUUGUAUGACAUUCUUGUGCAUAUGCAAUUGUAAAUACACACAUAUGUAUAUAUGAAUUGUGCAUUUAUAAUCUAUUCAAUGAUUGAGAAGAAAUCCAGUUUACCAGAUUUCGUCAAUAGCUGUGGAAUUUUCCUUUUUCAGUUAUUCAAGGAACAUCUUAUAUGCUAAUUCAAUGUGACAAUAGCUUUAGCUUCAAGUACCCGAUGAAGCUUUGUCACUGCUCAUGGGAAUGGGUUACAAAGAAAAUGCAGCGAAAAGGGCCCUAAGAAUGACCGGUCAAGACGUUCAGCCAGCAGUUCAUUUCCUGGUUGAAGAGCAAGCUAGGAAAAUACUCAGGAAACAGGAGAACAUUCAGCGACAAGCGGAGAUUUUGUAUAGCUCUAUACUUUACCAUAGAAUGUUUUUGUCUCAUUUUUUAAUUAAUGAUUGUUGCUGAUUGUAUGAACUUGUAGAGAACAGAGGAGAUAUGGUACUAAUAAAUCAUGGCAUAUAGCAUAAUGUGACAGAUGUAAUGGCUUUGCUUCUGUGGAUUGUGAAACAUUAGAUUGUGUCAGGCACUUAUCAGAUUGCUCUCUGGUGUCUAGGAUCAUUACAUGUACACUACUAGUCAAUCUAUUUUGCAGUUUUGAUAGAGAUCUUGCUGCACAGGCUCUUAGGGUGAACGAAAAUGAAGUUAAAAAAGCAUUAGAUCUGUUGACAAAUCCUGAAAGAAAUUGUGCCCUUCUGGUACUUGGUUUUCUUUAGAGUGCUUCUAUAUUAUCAUUUUCACUAACUAAUGACCUUUUGACUGCGAGAAUCGACUUGGCAGUUGGGAGUAUAGGAUUCCUCAGGUGCAGACAUCGAGGAAUUAGUAUCCUUGUGGUAUAACCGAUCAUCAGGUAUUUCAUCGCUUCAUUUAUUCCUCGGACAAUCAAGUGUUUCAUGCAUUUAUUUCAGACAAGGGUGCCCUUCUCGUGAUGACUCCCAGGCAUCUAAUGUUGCCCUAGUUAUCUGACCAUUCUUAUUUUCACAAGCAGUAGAUUCCAUAUGCUUGACCAGAUCUCCAUUAGCUCCUGUUGCACUGUCCGGUACUUGCGUUCGGAAUUAACUAUUCUUGACUGCAGUUGUGGAUGCUGUGCGAAGGUCAUGUAACAAGGAUGAUGCGUUGAAACUUCUUGCCGGAGCAAAUUCAGAGGACAGCCAGCAUGCUAUAAUCAACCAACCGAAAGAUGAUCAAGGGCCAUCAGCCGCUUUAGCUAAUGAAGAUAAAAUGGAUCUGGGAGGAGAACACAAAUAUGAGAGAGACGAAGCCGUGGAAGACGAGCUUGCGAAAGAACUGACCGGUGAUCCAUUGGCAGACUACGACGCGGAAGUAAUGAAAGAAGGAGAGGCCAUAGCAAAGUAUUUGGCCCUUCUGGAUUCAAAAGCCAAUGCAACAUAGGAAAUAAGAUACACAGGUUCUUCCAGAAUCCAGUAAAUAAGUAAGAUAGUGUAGUUUCCUUUUAUAUCCUCCAGCAUUAAUAUAGUAUUAUAAAAGAUACGACUGCGAUUUCUUUUUUAAAUAGCCUUAAGUUUUCUUUUUGUAAUCAUUCAUUUCCAAAUGGGUUUUUAUCUAUCUGGCAAUGUGCACCCAGCAGCGGAGAGGUCAUAUAUGGUGUUUUACAUUUAAAAUUUCAUGCUCCAAGGGAAAAAGCCGGAACUAGUUGUUAUGCUUAAUUUACGCUCCACUUUGGUUGGAAGUGAAUAGAUUUGUCGACUUUAGAUGAUUUCAUGCGUAAAGGCAUCUCUAUUCCCAUCCACAAAAUUAUCUAUAAACACUUAAUAAUUUUGUGGACCGGAAAAGAGAUGUCAUUGUUUUACGCCUUCAAAAAUGGAUAUAUCAUUUUGAACAUAAAUGAUAGACAUGUGAUUAAGAGAAAUUUUACGAAAUCACUAAUAAUCAAACAAUCUGUAAAGCUUGGAACCUCAAACCCUUAACUAUUAUUAAGAGUUUGGUUUAGUUGGAAACUAAUAUCUAUCUUUAUUCAUAAUGUCUCUUAGUCAGGCUAGAGAUAUUGUUGACUAGAAAACAAGGCAUAUCAGGAUUUGGAUGAACCUUUACAAUAUCAUGCUUUAUCGUAACACUCGUCCUUGGCAAUAAUAUUUAACUAUUUCAAAAAUCAAAACAGAGAUCUUUUUAUUUCAUAAAUAUUAUUUCAUUUUAUUAAACUGCCCAUAAUAGGGCUUCACACGAACGAGCCUCUUAUACCGUAUCAACACUAUUUAUAUGAAGUGCAACACAUUUCUGUAAUAAUGCUGCUGACUGCUGGGUAGAAGUGCAUGCAUGAAGAAAUGACUACGGGUGCAUGUAUUUUUAAGUAAAGGUCAGGUCAUGGAGAAAGGAAUACGAGGGAUGGCACGUAGACAGAGGUCCGACUUCCUCCGGCACGUAAUCGAGAAGGUCUCGCUCAUGUCCAACUCCUGGGGCAUCCCUUCAUCUCCCGAUGGGAGCUCCCAAUCAAAGUUGUAGAGAAGGCUAGCCAGGGAAAGCUCUAUGCUCUUCAAACCAAAUGACAUCCC
rnacentral:lncRNA from 1 species